GACGAACGCUGGCGGCGUGCCUAAUACAUGCAAGUCGAACGAGAGCGACCGGUGCUUGCACUGGUCAAUCUAGUGGCGAACGGGUGAGUAACACGUGGGUAACCUGCCCAUCAGAGGGGGAUAACAUCCGGAAACGGAUGCUAAAACCGCAUAGGUCUUCGAACCGCAUGGUUUGAAGAGGAAAAGAGGCGCAAGCUUCUGCUGAUGGAUGGACCCGCGGUGCAUUAGCUAGUUGGUGAGGUAACGGCCCACCAAGGCCGUGAUGCAUAGCCGACCUGAGAGGGUGAUCGGCCACAUUGGGACUGAGACACGGCCCAAACUCCUACGGGAGGCAGCAGUAGGGAAUCUUCCGCAAUGGACGCAAGUCUGACGGAGCAACGCCGCGUGAGUGAAGAAGGUGUUCGGAUCGUAAAACUCUGUUGUUAGAGAAGAACAAGUGCUAGAGUAACUGUUAGCGCCUUGACGGUAUCUAACCAGAAAGCCACGGCUAACUACGUG
rnacentral:rRNA from 1 species